ACCCAUGGCAUCAUACAGAUCAGAUGCAGUCUGUGAAGAUGUACCCUGCUCGGUGGACCGCCCGGUACUAGCAUCGCCUCUGGGAGCUCGCUCUGUCUCAAGAUCAGCAGGAGAAGCAUCAUCUGACUCCUCAUCAGAACCAUCAUGUGUUUGUGCUGCUGCUCGUGCUGCUCUGCGGGCUGCAAAAUCUCUCCUAGAAUUAUAAAAUUCAUUGCCUCUCCUAGUCAGACCCAUGUGGAGGAGGGUAGCCUCAGUGUAAGGGGUAUACUCACUAGACAAGGGUAAGGCAGACUCGGUACCUGGGUCAACCCCUAGAGCUCGAAGAAGAAGAGUAAG
rnacentral:lncRNA from 1 species